rnacentral:rRNA from 1 species
AAUUCGAAGCAACGCGAAGAACCUUACCAGGCCUUGACAUGCAGAGAACUUUCCAGAGAUGGAUUGGUGCCUUCGGGAACUCUGACACAGGUGCUGCAUGGCUGUCGUCAGCUCGUGUCGUGAGAUGUUGGGUUAAGUCCCGUAACGAGCGCAACCCUUGUCCUUAGUUGCCAGCAGUUCGGCUGGGCACUCUAAAGGGACUGCCGGUGUUAAACCGGAGGAAGGUGGGGAUGACGUCAAGUCCUCAUGGCCUUUAUGACCAGGGCUACACACGUACUACAAUGGCCGAUACAAAGGGCAGCGACACUGCGAGGUGAAGCCAAUCCCGUAAAAUCGGUCUCAGUCCGGAUUGGAGUCUGCAACUCGACUCCAUGAAGUUGGAAUCGCUAGUAAUCGUGGAUCAGCAUGCCACGGUGAAUACGUUCCCGGGCCUU